rnacentral:lncRNA from 1 species
UCUUAACAUUGCACUACUUACUAUCCUUGAAAAAUGUUUCCUAAAGAAUGGCCCUAAGUGUUGAAGCUAAACUUUGAGCAAGUGCCUGCUUCCUAAGUGAUGAUUCUGUGCCCUAGACCUUUGUGAGAAUUUGAAGUUUUCUUUCACCCCCAACAAAACACUCAGCAAUUGUAUCCAAGAAUGUUAAAGAUUCAGUUCAAGCAUGUUGUUCAUUACUUGAUUUAUUCUGGGUGGCAUUACCAAUGUGUGUUCCUGCAUUUGGAGUUACUCUUAACUGUAAAGAGGCUCUGAUUUCUAUGUAAACACUUCAGGCCAAAAGACAGCAAUUUUAAAAAGCAAUCCAGACAAUCAUUUGUUUGAAACACCAACUUAGAGAGGAGUAAUGUUAACAUAAACAUACCACAUCUUUGACCUAUAUUAAAACACAUGUCUCAUAUUGGCUACAAGCAAACUUUGAGUCCUUUGUAAAAUCCAUACAGUUACCCAGCAGGCAUGAUGUCAAUCCAAAUCACUGUGGUUACUGUAUAGCUACUUAUUAUCCAAACAACCCUGAAACAAAAGACCUGAAAUUCGCUGUUUUGGAUGCUGCUUCCUGCUGCCAGGAGGAGGUGUGUUUAACUUACAAGAGACUGAACAGCAGUUAGAUGAACACUUUAGAUCAAAAGAUCCAAGUAAAUAGACAAUGAAGAAAAGACUUCUGUUUGAUAGCAGACAACAUACUUUCCCAAAAAUGUAUCUUAAUUCAAGUUCAAAAAUUGAUAUAAAAAGACUGGUCACGCAAAUGAAUGUAAGAAACAUAUUAGUAAACACAUGAAUGAAACUGUGCUCCAAAGAGUUAAAGAAACCAAUAACUAACAGACAUUCUUGAAUUUGAAGGUUAGUCAAUAAUAAAAGGAAACAACUUGCCGAAAAGCUGAAACUCCCUCUACUUGAGGGAUUUUAAAAAACUGGAUGAAACAAUGAACUGAACUGUUGGAAACAAUGUGGCCAACUGGAGUUUGCGCAGAGCAAAUUUGUUGAUGUCACAGCCUGAAUUUCUACCACAUUUCAUAUUAAGUCCCCCUAAAUUUGCACCUGUGACCCAUGAGGAGGCACAAAGGGAUAACUGGGCGUGCCUGAGGACUUUCCAGACCUCCCCUUUUCUUCCACCAAUCACCUACUAGUCUCAGAAUCACCCCCUAAACCUUUUCUAAUAAAAGUAAAGCCAACACAGAGAGACGGCUUUGAGCUGGACUCCUGUCUUCUUGUGAGUUGACAUAUAACAAAAAGCUUUUCUUUUCCCAACAGCCCAGAGUCAUUGUAUAUUGGCUUUUAGUGCAUCAGGCAUCAAGCCCUUUCUGCUUGAGAAAAUGAAUACAACUCCAUUCAGAAACAUAUUAGCACUGCUGACAGCAUAGCAGAAGCUUGGCAAAUUAUUAUUAAUCAUGGAGUCAUACACUAAUAAUGGUCAUGUACUUAUUUCGUAUGAUAUUAUCAUUAUGUCUUCAACACAAGAGAUGAUCAACAAUAUGGGCUAUGGCUGGGGGCAGUGGUUCACACCCGUAAUCUCAGCACUUUUGAAGGCUGAGGCAGGAGGAUCACUUGAACCCAGGAGUUCAAGACCAGCCUGGGCAAAAUAGCGAGAUUCCCCCAUCUCUACAAAAAUUAAAAAAAAAAAAAAUUAGCUGGGCAUAGCAGUGCGUGCCUGUGGCCCCAGCUACUUGAAAAGCUGAAAUGAGAGGAUCACUUGAGCCCAGGUGGUUGAGACUGCAGUGAGCCAUGAUCAUAUCCCUGCACUUGCAACCUGAGUGACAGAACAUGAUCCUGUCUCAACAAUUAAUAGUAAUAAUAAUGAUAAUAUAGGCUAAUUUAUUUUGGAAUCAUGGGAUGAAAAUUUUGUAGCAUUAAUGCCAUAAUUAGAAAUACUAAGUAUAUUCCAAAGUAUUCAAAUAUUGCUGAGAAUCAUAGAGGAAGCCUAAGUAACAGAUAAGGACAGUGAGCACAGAGAGGGGAAGAAGAAAAAAAGACCAUUAAAGGAGGAAGUAAAAAACAAACCUGAGGUAAAUACGGGAGCAGUAACAAGAUCAUGAGUACAGUAGGAAUGAUUAAGAUAUAAAGUCACCUGGAGAGAAGAGAAUUACCUCUAUUUCAUGCUUUUACAUUCUUGUUAGAGGUUAGUGAAGUAGAAGUUUGGGAAUAGAGUCCUACAGUGGCCUGUAUUCUGAGUAGCUGAUUGUGACAUAUUUUAUGUGAGCCACAUAAAAUGCAGGUGUGAGCCACUGCACCCGGCCUCAAAGUACACUUCUUAUAGUAUGACUCUAUUAGGGCUCUGAGUCACAGAAAACUUAAUUAAAAACUUUCAUUCUAAGAUCUCAGGGAUGGUCUCUAAUCAAGGCAACAGAUAAGUGAGGGGUUAUCAGAUACCAGGCAGAAUAUUAAUCGGUAUUGCUGAGGAGACAGGCUAGAGAGAAAGCUAGAAAUUUAUCCUCAAGGUGGAAGAUAAAAGAAAAGUGAACAGACAUUCAGGGAUGGAUCUGCCUUAAGUAUGAGUCAAGUAUUUGCUUCAAAUGUGGGUAGUGGCUGAGGGUAAAACAAAAAUCUGAUUCAUCUGAAAGGCAGGAAGGGUUACCAGAAGUUCAAUAUGGCUAACACAGAGGAGGAAUGAGUUCCUGUAAAGGACAAUUUAGUCCAAAAGUGUAUACUAAUUCUAGUGGGCGCUAAUUUAAGAAUGAGUGCCAGGUUUAUCAGCUUUACAGUAUAAGAUAGCAUUGUUAUUUCUCUAAUUAAAGAAUACCAUACCUUCUUAUUUGCAUGUCUUUGGGGGUUCAAUAGCCCUAACUCUGGAGGCAAUGGUUUAGGGGGCAAAGCAACACAACUUUGGAUGGCCUCCUAACAGGAUGGAUGUACCCUAACUCAUUCAAUUAUCUUCCUCUUUAUAGUUGUUUCCAGUUAGCAGCCACUGUAAGUAGUGCUUCAAAAAGCACUAGCAUGCUUAUUUCUAUAGGAGAAUCCCAAAGUUGAGAAAAGCCUGAGUUACUUUCCAAGAGCUGUAGCAAUGUAUGCUCCUGUGGAUAAGAGUGUACAUUUGGCCGGGCGCAGUGGCUCACGCCUGUAAUCCUAGCACUUUGGGAGGCCGAGGCGGGCAGAUUACGAGGUCAGGAGUUCAAGACCAGCCUGACCAACAUGGGGAAACCUCCAUCUCUACUAGAAAAAUACAAAAAUUAGCCUGGCAUGGUGGCACAUGCCUGUAAUCCCAGCUACUCAGGAGGCUGAGGCAGGAGAAUUGCUUAAAUCUGGGAGGUGGAGGUUGCAGUGAUACGCCACUGCACUCCAG